rnacentral:lncRNA from 1 species
AAUAAAAUAAAUUCUCUUAAAUUCUUAAAUAAAAGCUUUAAUUUAGCUAUUCUAUAUAUUAAAAUUCCGGAAACUAAACAUAGUAUUGACCCUUUUAACAUAACAGGAGCGAAACACAUAACCAUUUUUUUAAACAUUUAAUGCACUUAACUCGUAAAAUCUACUGAUACACCGUAUAAAGAAAACUACUUAAAUUAGGAAUAAGUCUCUUAGAAGCGCUAUAUAAAUUUUUAUAUUUCAAUAAUUAACUAAAAAUCUUGCCGUCUUAAAUUCACCAUUGAAAUGGUUCGUUCGAAAAAAUGUUUGGAACUAGUUUGAAAGGAGGCGGGGUUUGACGUCAUGAAAUACGUCAUCACUGUCCCUGUCUAUUGGCCGCUAGGUAAUAAUUAAUUAACGAUUAAAUUUAAAAUUGGGCUGGCAACAAUGGUUCUUGUUUUUGUUUUCGUAUGGACCAGUGUAAAAUUUGAAUUUAUAUGGACUGAACUUGGCUGGUAAUGUUGGCUGACUGAAUUAGUGGCUGACGAAUCCAGGUUCUGUAUACAGCAUCAUGAUGGCUGCAUCUGUGUUUGACAACAUCGUGGAGAACGCCCAUUGGCAGCUUGCAUUCAACAUUGUCAUACUGUCCUAUCAUCUGGAGUAAUGGUAUGGGGGCCAUUGGAUCUCCUCUUGUUCACAUUGCCGACAUUUUGAACAGCAGCCAUUACAUUUCUGAUGUGUUAAGGCCAGUUGCUCUGCCUUAUCUUCAAGGCCACCAUAACGCUACGGCAAGACAAUGCACAGCCGCAUGUUGCCUGCAAUGUCCUGACCUUCCUUGAUACAGAACAUGUUUGCUUGUUGCCCUGGCCAGUACGCUCUACUGACCAACUGAAAACAUCUGGUCAAUGGUUGCCAAACGCCUGGUACCCCACCACUCGUCAGUCGCUACAGUCGAGGAAUUGAGGCAUAAUGUUGAAGCUGCAUGGAAUGCUGUACCCGUCCAUGCUGUCCAAUCUCUGUUCGACUUGAUGCCCAGGAGAAUAACUGCUGUUAUUGCUGCCAAGGGAGACUGUUCUGAGUACUGAUUCCUCAGGAUCUAUACAUCCAAAUAUCCUGAAAAUUUAAUUACUUGUUCUUCCAACUAUAAUGUAUGUGCCCAAUAAAUAUCAUUCUGUUAUUUGCUUUCCUUUCUGGUGUAGAAAUUUGUGUAUUUAUCCAUCUUAUUUAUGAUUAAAUUUUUUAAAUAGAAAAUCUUAACGUAUUGCAUUUUUAUAGUUUUAUUUUUUCGUUUCUAUUCUUAGAAACAUUCAUCUGUUGAUUAAAUAUAUGAUUUUGAUUAAAUACAAAUUAUUUUUAUAAUAUUUUUUUUGAAAUUUAGUUUUUUUUAUUAUAUUUUAGGAUAACUUAGUUGUUAAAAAGGUCUUCUUUUAUUUUAUUGAUUAAUAAGUUCUACUUUUAGUUUUCGUCUUUUUGCAACUUUGUUUCAUAUUUUAGGAAAAUUUAUUUAUUUUAUAGCUAAGGAUUGAUAUUGGGUCUCUAUUUAUCUAUUUUUUGCUUGUCAGUUGAUAAGAAGUACUAUUUUUUAGUUAUUUAUUCUAUUUGACUUAAUUUAAUAAAUAUAGAUUAAUUUGAAUUCAAUUUGGAUUGUGUAUAAAUUUAUUAGUUUCUUUUUAGGAUGGUUUGAUAAUUGGUGUUAAAAUUUUUUUUAAAAUUAUUUUCUUUUUAAAUUUUUAUUGUUUAAUUAAGAUUUGCAAUCUUAAUGGUGCUUAUCUUAUCUUGACCAUUAUUGAUUUUUAUGGAUGCCAACAUUUUGUGUUUUGAUUGCUUAUUGUGUUUUUGUUUGCAGAAAGGGUUAUCACAUUGAUUAAAGUUUAAUUUUAAUUAUAUAUAGAUUAUUUAUGUAUUUUUGUUUUCUUUUCAUCAAUUUUGUACUGAUAAUUUUUUUUUAAUAUUGCCUAGUAAAUUCCUUUAGUCUUAUUUUACCUUUCAGUCAUGUUUAUAGAUCUGGAAAUUUAUUAUUUCUCGUUGACAAUAUUUAAAUCUUCUGAUUUUUUUAAAAAUAAAAAUUCCUUAUUAAUAUA